rnacentral:misc_RNA from 1 species
UCCGGUUUAACACCGGCAGUCCCUCUAGAGUGCUCCUUGCGGGUGGCAACUAAAGGUAAGGGUUUCGCUCGUUAUGGGACUUAACCCGACAUCUCACGACACGAGCUGACGACAGCCAUGCAGCACCUGUACUAGGCUCCCCGUCUAAGGGGUUCGUCACCGUUUCCGGCUUCUACUACCUAGCGCUUUCGCACAUGUCAAGUCCAGGAUAAGGUUCUUCGCGUAGCCUCGAAUUAAGCCACAUGCUCCACCGCUUGUGUGAGCCCCCGUCAAUUUCUUUGAGUUUCAGCCUUGCGACCAUACUCCCCAGGCGGGGUACUUAGCAUUUUAACUUCGACAGUAAACUCAUAUCUAGUCUACUAUCUAGUACCCAUCGUUUAGGGCUAGGACUAC